CAUAAAGAUCUGAUGAAGCUUGAUGUAAAAGGAACCAAUCCAGUGAAAGAUAUCCAUGGCCUUCCAAACUCCACAAACCACAGACUUAAAGCUGAAGAUGCUGAUUCUGUGGCAAGAACAGUUCAUUUCUAAGUUUUGGAACUAUUGAGGAGCCAUGCUUUGAGCAGGAGAACUUGCAGAUUUGCGUGACGGAUCUGGCCCAAAUCUUGAGAAAGAAGAGGAACAGGGUGGAGAGUAAAUGGUGGACAGACCGCCAGCUGAAAAAGAUCUCUCAAAAGGGAGGUCCUCCACCAUGAUGUGUAACUUCUUUAGAAAGCCGCAGAGAUGAUGCCAAGAUGUUCUCUUCAUGACAACUGCUGUGAAGUUGGAAAGUGCAACUCUAUCGACAGCAACCAGAGAAGCCUGCAUUGCUGUCCUCGCAAGGAGCUGACCCUCAGCAACGAUAGCCUGGAAUUCCUCUCUCUCAUCCAAAGGGAUGUGUUCAAUAAAGGUAUUUAAUUUCAAUUAAUUGGUAUGGUUUUAUUUUGCCAUGAAGGCUUGAUAAUUAGCGAUCCUAAAAUGUAGAAUAUUUAUUGAAGAAUAUUAUUUACGCCCAAAUAAAUCCAGUCAUUUUCAGUCCUUAUUGUAUGGUGUCGUUUUAGCAUAGUACUGUCUGCCAUGUUCAUUAACAGUGUCAACGACCAGUGAAUUAGGGGAUGAGAAAAUAAAAAGCCCCCUACU